GUCUACUAUAUUUGCUGCACAUUCACUGUAUUAGAAUAAUACAGAAAAGAUUAGCAUGAUCCUCGCAUAAGGAUGACAUGCAAAUUCAAGGGAUGAAGUUUCAAUAU